UUAUUUUGGAAAGGGGAUCACUUUAUAUUCUUUUUCUUGAAUUAUAUUGUGGGUUUUUUGUUUCGUGCAUCUUACUUAAUACUUAGGAUCGAGACGGGAUUUGCGCAGCUCCAGGAUCGCUGUUGACUAACCGAAUGAAGGUGGUAGGAAAAGGAUUAGGAGAGUGGAAGGGAAGUAAGGGCUUCAAGCCAUCUCAGUACAUUCACCAAAAGACAACCCGUAUCAAAGAGAUAAGACAAAGCUAAAAGAGUCCAUUCUCUUUGGUGAUUUGUGCAGGAGGACAUCAAUUUUAUGCCCACGGUAAUUGCUAAACUACAGCGAAAACCCAAUAAACAUGCGGAGAAGGAAAAGGAAAUGCUGACCAUAGAGAGAAAAGCAAUAAAGAGGCUAAUCCUACAGAGUCACCGUUGGAGCCUCGCAAGAGCCUGGUAAACCUAAGAGCCAUUUAGAUUUGAAGAUGAGUGUGUCAGAGACUCUGGAAAAUUAUAGCAUUUCUCUCAGUAUAAUGAAACCACCAACCAUGUGAGUACCUGAUUCAAGAUGAACUAGGCUUUCUGUGGAAGGGAAGCGUAAUUCAAAUAUUCUCUGGCCACACACCAGCGAUCUUAAAAAGAGAACACAUCAUUUUUUCCUUGCAAAGCUAUCUGGGCUGCUGCUGAAAUAUUCCAAAAUAUUCAAGUUCAUGGAAAAGGGGACCAAAGCGAAGAGAGCUGAAAAGGCCUCCGGUUUCCAGGCCUGUUCACUAGGCUACGCCAGGGGUAAUGGAACCAUUUCAAGGCCCAUGGUUUAAAAAAUUUUUUUUAAUGUUUUUAUUUCUUUUUGAGACAGAGAGAGACAGAGCAUGGGCGGGGGAGGGGCAGAGAGAGAGGGAGACACAGAAUCCGAAGCGGGCUCCAGGCUCCGAGCCGUCAGCACAGAGAGACAACAGCGUGAGGGUUCCGUCUACUGUCGCUGACCUUGAAGUUAGAGGGAGAAGACUCCAGGCCAAGGGAUGUGGGUGGAGGCAGAGGGAGAAAAGGCAGAGGGAGACCGAGUUUCCUCUGGAGCCUCCAGAAAGAAAUGUAGCCCUGCGGAUAUCCUGCUUUCAGCACGAACUGGCCCUUCUACCUCUGAUGCUGCCACUGCCCUGUCGGCCAAUGAACGCUGGACAGCAACAAUAAAAAACCAGAGUGGUGGGGCCCCUGGGUGGCUCAGUCGGUUAAGCGUCUGACUUUGGCUCAGGUCACCAUCUCACAGUUCGUGGGUUCGAGCCCCGCAUCGGGCUCUGUGCUGACAGCGCAGGGCCUGGAGCCUGCGUAGGAUUCUGUG